AUCAUCACCACAAUUUCUUUGUUUCAGAAUUUGGCAAGUGUAAGAGUAAACAUGCAAUUUUUUCAACCUUGGCUAUUCUCAUUCCUCCAUACUAGGCCCAGAUCUCUUGAAUUCUUAAGUACUUGCUGAGCAAGACCACAUUAAUUACAGUCAAACAAGACAGACACAGGAGAGCAGGGCCCUGGAACCUCAUCUAAAUACAGGAGUGCCACCUCUAGAAUGCAAUAAAAUGAAGAAAAAUCAUGGCAUAUGAAAGAAAAUAACAACAAUGACAAUGCCUAACAUUAUGAAUGCUUUAAGACUUUAGAUUCAUUUCUAACAUGAUGUCUAAAGGGAAAUAACACCCACUUAUUGAAUAUUUUUAAUAAUAUAUGUGUUUUAUGGAUGUCAACUAAUUUAAUCACAACAGUUUUAUGAGGUCACCUAACAUAUUAUGACUUCAUUUUUAGGCAAAGACACCAAAUUGAGGGAAAAAAAAAAACAACUAGUCCUGGUCAUCUACUUGGUAAUGGUGGAGGUUUCAAGCCCAGAAUCCAAAUCUAGAGGUUAUGCUGAUACCUGUGCAAUAAGGAUUUCAUAUUGGUACUACUGAUACAUCAAUGUGAAAGCACCCUUGUGGAGAUGUUUUUAUAAGCUGAACACCAACAAGGAUUAGGAGAAGUAAAUUCAGUGAGAAGAAAAUUCAUGGUGAGGGAGAUGUUGGAGAAGUCCAUAAAGGGACUCAGGAUGCUGGCUCUCAGAUGCUGCUAAUUCUAGAUGACUGUUCACCAAAUGAUGUGUCCCACCACCCCAUCAGUCUCCAUCAGCCCACAAUGCAGAUGAAUGUGAGGACCCGGGAAACCUCCCUUGGAGGAUGGGAGAGCCAAGAGUGGGAAAGGCCUUGGAGAAGAGCCACCUGCUGAUUACACAUCCGCAUUCGGUCUUUAUAUAAGCCAUAAAUUAACAUCAGCAUUAUUAGUUCCUUUGGAAGAGUACCUAGCUCCACUCUCAUCAAUAUCUGAAACAUCUUUUACUUGAAAUUGAAUUUGGCUUGAUUUGUGAUUGAAAGUGAACAUUCCAAAUAAAUUGUCCCUAAAAUCAAAGAGCA
rnacentral:lncRNA from 1 species